rnacentral:rRNA from 1 species
UCGUGGGGUGACUUGUCUGCUCAAUUGCGAUAACGAUCGAGACCUUGACUUCUAAAUAGCACGCUCCGCUCAGGCGGAGUUGCGGCUUCUUAGUGGGACUAUCGGCUCAAGCCGAUGGAAGUUCGAGGCAAUAACA